GUAGGUGGCAAGCGUUGUCCGGAAUUAUUGGGCGUAAAGCGCGCGCAGGCGGUUCUUUAAGUCUGAUGUGAAAGCCCACGGCUCAACCGUGGAGAGUCAUUGGAAACUGGAGAACUUGAGUACAGAAGAGGAAAGCGGAAUUCCACGUGUAGCGGUGAAAUGCGUAGAGAUGUGGAGGAACACCAGUGGCGAAGGCGGCUUUCUGGUCUGUAACUGACGCUGAGGCGCGAAAGCGUGGGGGAGCAAACAGGAUUAGAUACCCUGGUAGUCCACGCCGUAAACGAUGAGUGCUAAGUGUUAGGGGGUUUCCGCCCCUUAGUGCUGCAGCUAACGCAUUAAGCACUCCGCCUGGGAGUACGGCCGCAAGGCUG
rnacentral:rRNA from 1 species